UGCUAGGGUAAUAUCCAUCAGGUUG
rnacentral:miRNA from 1 species